rnacentral:rRNA from 1 species
GACGAACGCUGGCGGCGCGCUUAACACAUGCAAGUCGAGCGAGAACCGGUCCUUCGGGACCGGGGAAAGCGGCGAACGGGUGAGUAACACGUGGGUAAUCUGCCCUCGGUUUCGGGAUAGCCCGGGGAAACCCGGAUUAAUACCGAAUGGCCCUUUCGGUCUUCGGAUUGAAAGGAAAAGGUAGCUUCGGCCUCCGACCGAGGAUGAGCCCGCGGCGGAUUAGCUUGUUGGUGGGGUAACGGCCUACCAAGGCGACGAUCCGUAGCUGGUCUGAGAGGACGAUCAGCCACACUGGGACUGAGACACGGCCCAGACUCCUACGGGAGGCAGCAGUGGGGAGUCUUGCGCAAUGGGCGAAAGCCUGACGCAGCGACGCCGCGUGCGGGAAGAAGGCCUUCGGGUUGUAAACCGCUUUCAGGUGGGACGAAGCCACGCGGGUGAAUAGCCCAGAGGGUGACGGUACCUCCAGAAGAAGUCCCGGCUAACUACGUGCCAGCCGCCGCCGUAA